UUCCAGCCGCAAGAGCUGCCUGCACUCCACUGGCCUCCCCAUGCAACUCCUUCUCAACUGCAGGCUCUCCUGGCUCCACUUUACAGAAGGAUGAAAAAUGGAGGUGCUGAGAGAGGGGACCUGUUGAAGAGACACCCAGUCCUUGAGGACUCCAGACCUGCCGUUAUCAACCCCAGGCAUACCACCCCUGUCUUCUACCUGACAGGUCUACACAUCCAGCUUGCUCAUGCUCCCUACUGGAGUUUUCUUAUGUCAAGUCAAUCCGAAGUGUUACAGCAGAUGAGUCUGGUUUUCAUUUAAAGAGCAACAGGGAGUUACAGAACGGUUUUGAGCAGGGGAAGGACAUGGUGACAAAGAUUCUCUCCCUGGCCAAACUGUAUGUAGGUCCCUCUGAGCCCUCUGCUCUACUAGGCCCAUAUGUGAGCCUCUGACCCUGCCCUUGGAGAGUCCAGUUUUGGCAAGAAUCCCGUCAAGCUGGUUUAGCCAGAAUUCCCUACCCUAAGAUCUCACCAAAUUCCUCAUCCCCUGUCACCUCCCAGGGGAUGCCUGAUUGCCUUGGCCUGUCUUCGUCUUCUGCAAGAAUCCUGCCAGGUCAGCUUAGCCAGAAUCCCCCCUUCCCUCCGAUACUUCCUCCUAGCAGUUCCCCACUCACUGACCCCGCUCUUUGGCUAUAUAAAUCCCCACUUUUCCAUGCCAUAUUCGGAGCUGAGCUCCAUCUCUCUCCCUUAGGGCAAAGCCCCAUAGCCAUGGUCCCUGAACCUUCACGACAGUCCUGAAUAAAGUCCAUCUUACUGUUUUAA